CCUUUUAGGAGUUCUUUAACUCCUAAAAGUGUGGAAGCAUUGAUUUGCUUGCAAAACUGGAUAAAAAAAAGAGAUCAAUCUGACAUCGAGUAUUAUCCAAGCCUAGAAGAGCUUGAGUUUUAUGAAAAAAUGGAAAGAGAUGUAGCAAAGGGAAAAGCAGUAGCUGCUGAAAGUGAUGAAGAAGAACCAACUGCCAAAGCUGGAACCUCAGGCUCAAAGUCUUCAAAAGUCUCCAAAAGAGAUGCAGCUGCAACUCCUUCAACAAGUGCUGCUGCUGGGACCUCAAAAUCUGCAAAAGCACCAAAACAAAGGCUGCUGCCACCAAGAAAAACUAAAGG